rnacentral:tRNA from 1 species
GGAGGGGUGGCCGAGUGGUUGAAGGCGCUAGUCUUGAAAACUAGUAGGCGUUUACCCGUCUCGAGGGUUCGAAUCCCUCUCCCUCCGCCA